AAGUCGUAACAAGGUUUCCGUAGGUGAACCUGCGGAAGGAUCAUUAUCGAAACAAGCAUGGCGGGUUGUCGCUGGCCCAUACCAGGGUCGUGCACGCUCGUCGUUCUUCAUUUCUCCAUCUAUUUGUGCACCUCUUGUGUGGAUCCAUGUCCUGGGGACGAUUGGGGACUGCUUCGCAAAUACCUUCUUUGCAGGCUUUCCUUGUGUUGGAUCCUCAUUUUCUUCACAUACCACUAGAAAACAAUAGAGAAGGGUUGGAAAUAUAAAUAUACAACUUUCAGCAACGGAUCUCUUGGCUCUCGCAUCGAUGAAGAACGCAGCGAAAUGCGAUAAGUAAUGUGAAUUGCAGAAUUCAGUGAAUCAUCGAAUCUUUGAACGCAUCUUGCGCUCCUUGGUAUUCCGAGGAGCAUGCCUGUUUGAGUGUCAUUAAUAUCUCAACCGCAUGCGGAAAGUGUGUGGCUUGGACUUGGGGGAUAAUGCAGGCUCCGACUCGGUCGGUCUGCUCCCCUGAAAUACAUGGGCAAAGUAAAAAGGCCUCUUUGUUGGGUGUGAUAACAUUAUCUGCAUCCGAGAGGUCGUCUAAGUUUGCCGAAAUUGAAC
rnacentral:rRNA from 1 species